rnacentral:rRNA from 1 species
GACGAACGCUGGCGGCGUGCCUAAUACAUGCAAGUCGAACGAACUCUGGUAUUGAUUGGUGCUUGCAUCAUGAUUUACAUUUGAGUGAGUGGCGAACUGGUGAGUAACACGUGGGAAACCUGCCCAGAAGCGGGGGAUAACACCUGGAAACAGAUGCUAAUACCGCAUAACAACUUGGACCGCAUGGUCCGAGUUUGAAAGAUGGCUUCGGCUAUCUCUUUUGGAUGGUCCCGCGGCGUAUUAGCUAGAUGGUGGGGUUACGGCUCACCAUGGCAAUGAUACGUAGCCGACCUGAGAGGGUAAUCGGCCACAUUGGGACUGAGACACGGCCCAAACUCCUACGGGAGGCAGCAGUAGGGAAUCUUCCACAAUGGACGAAAGUCUGAUGGAGCAACGCCGCGUGAGUGAAGAAGGGUUUCGGCUCGUAAAACUCUGUUGUUAAAGAAGAACAUAUCUGAGAGUAACUGUUCAGGUAUUGACGGUAUUUAACCAGAAAGCCACGGCUAACUACGUGCCAGCAGCCGCGGUAAUACGUAGGUGGCAAGCGUUGUCCGGAUUUAUUGGGCGUAAAGCGAGCGCAGGCGGUUUUUUAAGUCUGAUGUGAAAGCCUUCGGCUCAACCGAAGAAGUGCAUCGGAAACUGGGAAACUUGAGUGCAGAAGAGGACAGUGGAACUCCAUGUGUAGCGGUGAAAUGCGUAGAUAUAUGGAAGAACACCAGUGGCGAAGGCGGCUGUCUGGUCUGUAACUGACGCUGAGGCUCGAAAGUAUGGGUAGCAAACAGGAUUAGAUACCCUGGUAGUCCAUACCGUAAACGAUGAAUGCUAAGUUGUUGGAGGGUUUCCGCCCUUCAGUGCUGCAGCUAACGCAUUAAGCAUUCCGCCUGGGGAGUACGGCCGCAAGGCUGAAACUCAAAGGAAUUGACGGGGGCCCGCACAAGCGGUGGAGCAUGUGGUUUAAUUCGAAGCUACGCGAAGAACCUUACCAGGUCUUGACAUACUAUGCAAAUCUAAGAGAUUAGACGUUCCCUUCGGGGACAUGGAUACAGGUGGUGCAUGGUUGUCGUCAGCUCGUGUCGUGAGAUGUUGGGUUAAGUCCCGCAACGAGCGCAACCCUUAUUAUCAGUUGCCAGCAUUAAGUUGGGCACUCUGGUGAGACUGCCGGUGACAAACCGGAGGAAGGUGGGGAUGACGUCAAAUCAUCAUGCCCCUUAUGACCUGGGCUACACACGUGCUACAAUGGAUGGUACAACGAGUUGCGAACUCGCGAGAGUAAGCUAAUCUCUUAAAGCCAUUCUCAGUUCGGAUUGUAGGCUGCAACUCGCCUACAUGAAGUCGGAAUCGCUAGUAAUCGCGGAUCAGCAUGCCGCGGUGAAUACGUUCCCGGGCCUUGUACACACCGCCCGUCACACCAUGAGAGUUUGUAACACCCAAAGUCGGUGGGGUAACCUUUUAGGAACCAGCCGCCUAAGGUGGGACAGAUGAUUAGGGUGAAG